CCUACGGGGGACAGCAGUAGGGAAUCUUCCACAAUGGGCGAAAGCCUGAUGGAGCAACGCCGCGUGGGUGAAGAAGGUCUUCGGAUCGUAAAACCCUGUUGUUAGAGAAGAAAGUGCGUGAGAGUAACUGUUCACGUUUCGACGGUAUCUAACCAGAAAGCCACGGCUAACUACGUGCCAGCAGCCGCGGUAAUACGUAGGUGGCAAGCGUUAUCCGGAUUUAUUGGGCGUAAAGGGAACGCAGGCGGUCUUUUAAGUCUGAUGUGAAAGCCUUCGGCUUAACCGGAGUAGUGCAUUGGAAACGGGGAGAGUGGAGUGCAGAAGAGGAGAGUGGAACCCCAUGUGUAGCGGUGAAAUGCGUAGAUAUAUGGAAGAACACAGGGGGCGAAGGCGGCGUUCUGGUCUGUAACUGACGCUGAGGUUCGAAAGCGUGGGUAGCAAACAGGAUGAGAUACCCGGGUAGUC
rnacentral:rRNA from 1 species